rnacentral:rRNA from 1 species
GACGAACGCUGGCGGCGUGCUUAACACAUGCAAGACGAACGGAAAGGCCUGCUUUCCCUUGUGGAUUGCGGGUACUCGAGUGGCGAACGGGUGAGUAACACGUGAGUGAUCUGCCCCCAACUUGGGUAUAAGCCUGGGAAACUGGGUCUAAUUCCCGAUAGGACUGCAGGGUGGUGCCUGUGGUGGAAAACGAUUUUCUAGUGGUUGGGGAUGAGCUCGCGGCCUAUCAGCUUGUUGGUGGGGUAAUGGCCUACCAAGGCGGCGACGGGUAGCCGGCCUGAGAGGGUGGACGGCCACAUUGGGACUGAGAUACGGCCCAGACUCCUACGGGAGGCAGCAGUGGGGAAUAUUGCACAAUGGGCGGAAGCCUGAUGCAGCGACGCCGCGUGGGGGAUGACGGCCUUCGGGUUGUAAACUCCUUUCGACCGCGAGGAAGCCACCUGGUUGGAAGGGUGGUGACGGUAGUGGUAGAAGAAGCACCGGCUAACUACGUG